AAGGAAGAAACAUUAAGGCUAUGUGCUUGGCUUGAAACCGUGUUAUGGGGGUUCGAUUCCCUCCUUCCUCG
rnacentral:tRNA from 1 species